rnacentral:rRNA from 1 species
GACGUAGGGUCCAAGCGUUGUCCGGAUUUACUGGGCGUAAAGGGCGCGUAGGCGGUUCGAUAAGUCCCGUGUGAAAUCCCUCGGCUCAACUGAGGAAUGGCACGGGAAACUGACGGGCUUGAGUUCGGGAGAGGGAAGCGGAAUUCCGGGUGUAGCGGUGAAAUGCGUAGAUAUCCGGAGGAACACCGGUGGCGAAGGCGGCUUCCUGGGACCGACACUGACGCUGAGGCGCGAAAGCUAGGGGAGCAAACGGG